rnacentral:rRNA from 1 species
GCAGAGCAUCCUACGGGAGGCAGCAGUGGGGAAUAUUGCACAAUGGGCGCAAGCCUGAUGCAGCCAUGCCGCGUGUAUGAAGAAGGCCUUCGGGUUGUAAAGUACUUUCAGCAGUGAGGAAGGUGGGUAUGUUAAUAGCAUAUUCAUUUGACGUUAGCUGCAGAAGAAGCACCGGCUAACUCCGUGCCAGCAGCCGCGGUAAUACGGAGGGUGCGAGCGUUAAUCGGAAUUACUGGGCGUAAAGCGCAUGCAGGUGGUUUGUUAAGUCAGAUGUGAAAGCCCCGGGGCUCAACCUCGGAAUUGCAUUUGAAACUGGCAAACUAGAGUACUGUAGAGGGGGUAGAAUUUCAGGUGUAGCGGUGAAAUGCGUAGAGAUCUGAAGGAAUACCGGUGGCGAAGGCGGCCCCCUGGACAGAUACUGACACUCAGAUGCGAAAGCGUGGGGAGCAAACAGGAUUAGAUACCCCUGGUAG